rnacentral:rRNA from 1 species
GGAAACCGNAUUAACUGGGCGUUAAGUUGCAGGGUAUAGANCCGAAACCCGGUGAUCUAGCCAUGGGCAGGUUGAAGGUUGGGUAACACUAACUGGAGGACCGAACCGACUAAUGUUGAAAAAUUAGCGGAUGACUUGUGGCUGGGGGUGAAAGGCCAAUCAAACCGGGAGAUAGCUGGUUCUCCCCGAAAGCUAUUUAGGUAGCGCCUCGUGAACUCAUCUCCGGGGGUAGAGCACUGUUUCGGCAAGGGGGUCAUCCCGACUUACCAACCCGAUGCAAACUGCGAAUACCGGAGAAUGUUAUCACGGGAGACACACGGCGGGUGCUAACGUCCGUCGUGAAGAGGGAAACAACCCAGACCGCCAGCUAAGGUCCCAAAGUCAUGGUUAAGUGGGAAACGAUGUGGGAAG